rnacentral:rRNA from 1 species
AUACGGAGGGUCCGAGCGUUAUCCGGAUUUAUUGGGCUUAAAGGGAUCGUAGGCGGAUGGUUAAGUCAGUUGUGAAAGUUUAAGGCUCAACCUUGAAAUUGCAGUUGAUACUGGCCGUCUUGAGUGCGGUAAAUGUGGGCGGAAUUCGUGGUGUAGCGGUGAAAUGCUUAGAUAUCACGAAGAACUCCAAUGGCGAAGGCAGCUCUCAGGACUGUAACUGACGCUGAUGCUCGAGAGGGUGGGUAUCAAACAGGAUUAGAUACCCUGGUAGACCGCACAGUAAACGAUGAAUAGGCGCUGUUUGCGAUAUACAGUAAGCGGCCAAGCGAAAGCGUUAAGUAUUCGGCCUGGGGAGUACGCCGGCAACGGUGA